rnacentral:rRNA from 1 species
UACGUAGGGUGCAAGCGUUAAUCGGAAUUACUGGGCGUAAAGCGUGCGCAGGCGGUGAUGUAAGACAGAUGUGAAAUCCCCGGGCUCAACCUGGGAACUGCAUUUGUGACUGCAUCGCUGGAGUGCGGCAGAAGGGGAUGGAAUUCCGCGUGUAGCAGUGAAAUGCGUAGAUAUGCGGAGGAACACCGAUGGCGAAGGCAAUCCCCUGGGCCUGCACUGACGCUCAUGCACGAAAGCGUGGGGAGCAAACAGG